AACGAACGCUGGCGGCAGGCUUAACACAUGCAAGUCGAGCGCCCCGCAAGGGGAGCGGCAGACGGGUGAGUAACGCGUGGGAAUCUACCCAUCUCUACGGAAUAACGCAUGGAAACGUGUGCUAAUACCGUAUACGUCCUUCGGGAGAAAGAUUUAUGGGAGAUGGAUGAGCCCGCGUUGGAUUAGCUAGUUGGUGGGGUAAAGGCCUACCAAGGCGACGAUCCAUAGCUGGUCUGAGAGGAUGAUCAGCCACACUGGGACUGAGACACGGCCCAGACUCCUACGGGAGGCAGCGGUGGGGAAUAUUGGACAAUGGGCGCAAGCCUGAUCCAGCCAUGCCGCGUGAGUGAUGAAGGCCCUAGGGUUGUAAAGCUCUUUCACCGGUGAAGAUAAUGACGGUAACCGGAGAAGAAGCCCCGGCUAACUUCGUGCCAGCCGCCGCCGUAAAAC
rnacentral:rRNA from 1 species